GCCUAAAGCCAUAUCACCCUGAAUAUAUCUGGUCUUGUUUGAUCUCAGAAGACAAGCAGAGUGGAGCAUGAUUAAUAAUAAUAAUAACAACAAUAGCUAGCAUUUACAUUGUUUUUAAGGUU
rnacentral:rRNA from 1 species